rfam:Triticum aestivum genome assembly, contig: Triticum_aestivum_CS42_TGACv1_scaffold_228998_3B
UAUAUACUCCCUCCGUUCGGAAUUGCUUGUCUCGAAAAUGGAUGUGUCUAGGCGUAUUUUAGUUCUAGAUACAUCCAUUUCCGAGAAAAGUAAUUCCGAACGGAGGGAGUACUAU